rnacentral:rRNA from 1 species
UGGGGAAUAUUGCACAAUGGAGGGAACUCUGAUGCAGCGACGCCGCGUGAGUGAUGAAGGAAUUCGUUUCGUAAAACUCUGUUCUAUGGGAAGAAAAGGACUGUACCAUAGGAGAAAGCUCCGGCUAAAUACGUGCCAGCAGCCGCGGUAAUACGUAUGGAGCGAGCGUUGUCCGGAAUUAUUGGGCGUAAAGGGUGCGCAGGCGGCUUUACAAGUUGGAUGUGAAAUAUUGUGGCUCAACCACAAACGUGCAUCCAAAACUGCAAAGCUUGAGUUAAGGAGAGGUAAGUGGAAUUCCUGGUGUAGCGGUGGAAUGCGUAGAUAUCAGGAGGACUACCGGUGGCGAAGGCGACUUACUGGACUUACACUGACGCUCAGGCACGAAAGCGUGGGGAGCAAACAGG